GAUACGGGACUCAUCCGAGGCCCCGUAAUCGGAAUGAGUACACUUUAAAUCCUUUAACGAGGAUCCAUUGGAGGGCAAGUCUGGUGUCAGCAGCCGCGGUAAUUCCAGCUCCAAUAGCGUAUAUUAAAGUUGUUGCGGUUAAAAAGCUCGUAGUUGAAUCUGUGUGCCACGCUGUCGGUUCACCGCUCGCGGUGUUUAACUGGCAUGAUUGUGGGACGUCCUACCGGUGGGCUUAGCUCCGUGAAAGCGGGGCGGUCCAACUAAUAUCCCAUCGCGGUGCUCUUCAUUGAGUGUCGAGGUGGGCCGGUACGUUUACUUUGAACAAAUUAGAGUGCUUAAAGCAGGCUACUUUCGCCUGAAUACUGUGUGCAUGGAAUAAUGGAAUAGGACCUCGGUUCUAUUUUGUUGGUUUUCGGAACCCCGAGGUAAUGAUUAAUAGGGACAGAUGGGGGCAUUCGUAUUGCGACGUUAGAGGUGAAAUUCUUGGAUCGUCGCAAGACGAACAGAAGCGAAAGCAUUUGCCAAAAAUGUUUUCAUUAAUCAAGAACGAAAGUUAGAGGUUCGAAGGCGAUCAGAUACCGCCCUAGUUCUAACCAUAAACGAUGCCAGCUAGCGAUCCGCCGAAGUUCCUCCGAUGACUCGGCGGGCAGCUUCCGGGAAACCAAAGCUUUUGGGUUCCGGGGGAAGUAUGGUUGCAAAGCUGAAACUUAAAGGAAU
rnacentral:rRNA from 1 species